rnacentral:rRNA from 4 species
GGAUUAGGCAUGCAAGUCGAACGAGGAAGUGCCCCGUAAGGGGCGCAAGCCUAGUGGCGAAAGGGUGAGUAAUGCAUUGAUAACCUGCCUUUGAGAUGGGAAUAACUGCGUUUCGAGCAAUCGGAACUACCGAAAGGGCUGCUAAUACCCAAUAAUACUAUAGGUGCAAAAGCACUUGUGGUCAAAUGCUAGGAAUUCUGUUCCUUGUGCUUAAAGAGGGGUUAAUGUCCUAUCAGCUAGUUGGUGGGGUAAUGGCCUACCAAGGCAAAGACGGGUAGCCGGCUUGAGAGGGUGGUCGGCCACACUGGGACUGAGACACUGCCCAGACUCCUACGGGAGGCUGCAGUCGAGAAUCUUUCGCAAUGCCCGAAAGGGUGACGAAGCGACGCCGCGUGUGGGAAGAAGGCCUUCGGGUUGUAAACCACUGUCGGGAGUUAGGAAAUGCAGGUGCGUUAAUAGCGCACUUGCUUGACUAAGGCUCCAGAGGAAGCCACGGCUAACUCUGUGCCAGCAGCCGCGGUAAUACAGAGGCGGCAAGCGUUGUUCGGAAUUAUUGGGCGUAAAGAGCACGUAGGCGGCCUUGCAAGUCAGUUGUGAAAGCCUUCCGCUUAACGGAAGAACGGCAUCUGAUACUACAGGGCUUGAGUACGGGAGGGGAGAGUGGAACUUCUGGUGGAGCGGUGAAAUGCGUAGAUAUCAG